AGAGUAGUGAAGUAUGUGAGCCAUGUGCCGAGAAAAGCCGCUAUUGUUUUAUAUGUGCCCGUACCGUAAACCGACACAGGUGGAUGAGGAGAAAAUCCUAAGGCCGACGGAAGAAGCAUUGUUAAGGAAUUCGGCAAAAUGACCCCGUAACUUCGGGAGAAGGGGUGCCCACUGAAUGGUGGGCCGCAGAGAAUAGGCUCAAGCAACUGUUUAGCAAAAACACAGGUCUAUGCGAAACCGAAAGGUGAAGUAUAUGGGCUGACGCCUGCCCGGUGCUGGUAGGUUAAGAGGAGAGGUUAGCGUAAGCGAAGCUUUGAAUUUAAGCCCCAGUAAACGGCGGCCGUAACAAUAACGGUCCUAAGGUAGCGAAAUUCCUUGUCGGGUAAGUUCCGACCCGCACGAAAGGCGUAAUGAUUUGAGCACUGUCUCGACAAUGCAUCCGGUGAAAUUGAAGUACCAGUGAAGAUGCUGGUUACCCGCGCCAGGACGGAAAGACCCCAUGGAGCUUUACUCCAGUUUGAUACUGGGAUUCGGUACUGCACGUACAGGAUAGGUGGGAGACUGAGAACUAUGGACGCCAGUCUGUAGGGAGUCGCUGUUGGGAUACCACCCCUGUAGUACUGGGUUUCUAACCAUCUGCCGUGAUCCGGCAGUGGGACAAUGUCAGGCGGGGAGUUUGACUGGGGCGGUCGCCUCCGAAAGGGUAUCGGAGGCGCUCAAAGGUUCCCUCAGAAUGGUCGGAAACCAUUUGAAGAGUGCAAAGGCAGAAGGGAGCUUGACUGCGACACCGACGGGUGGAGCAGGUACGAAAGUAGGACUUAGUGAUCCGGUGGUAUAAAGUUGGAUUGCCAUCGCUCAACGGAUAAAAGCUACCCUGGGAUAACAGGCUUAUCACUCCCAAGAGUUCACAUCGACGGAGUGGUUUGGCACCUCGAUGUCGGCUCAUCGCAUCCUGGGGCUGUAGCAGGUCCCAAGGGUUGGGCUGUUCGCCCAUUAAAGCGGUACGCGAGCUGGGUUCAGAACGUCGUGAGACAGUUCGGUCCCUAUCCGGCGCGGGCGGAGGAUAUUUGAGAGGAGCUGUCCUUAGUACGAGAGGACCGGGAUGGACGGACCACUGGUGUAUCUGUUGUCGACCAACGGCAUGGCAGAGUAGCCAAGUCCGGAAGGGAUAAACGCUGAAGGCAUCUAAGCGUGAAGCCCCCCUCAAGAUGAGAUAUCCCUCCUUCGGGAGUAAGACCCCUUGAAGACUACAAGGUAGAUAGGGCAGAGGUGGAAGUGUGGCAACACAUGGAGCUGACUGUUACUAAUAGGUCGAGGGCUUGAUUA
rnacentral:rRNA from 1 species